rnacentral:lncRNA from 1 species
GAGGAGCCUGUGAUCCGGGAGCAGGUGUCCCUGCGCAGCCCCUCGGCUCCCGCGCAUCGCCCUCACUUACCCAGGGCCCAGGUGCAGCUCUCUUUGAUGGCUUUGUAUUUGCUCCCGGACGCAUCUCUCUGCAGCUUCCUCAGGAUCUCUUCCAUCUUGGCCUUCCUAGAGCCAGGCCACCGACCCCGAGAUCGCGCAGGGGACGCGCCUAGGAGGCCUCGGCACUCGUCCCCAUGGCUCUCGGCGGCCGCUGAUGAAUCACACCCGCUCCGCGCCACAGGCCACGUCAGCCCCGCCGCCACGCCUGUUGCCACGCCCGCCGGGUCAGGUGCGCUCACCAGCAGGGGAACCCGGGAGGCCCCGGCCGUCUACCUAACGUCCAAGAGGACCUGGGGUACCAAGCUUCAUCCAAAGAGUUUCUUGGUAUAGCCUUGAUCAUCCUGGAACCCAUUCAGUAUACCAGGCUGACCUCAAACUCAGAAAUCCCAAAUGAUAGGAUUAAAGACGUGCACUACGCCACCAAGCCCCUAGGUGUCAGAGGGCAUGAAGUUGAAGUCUCACUUUUCUCUGGAUCACUUGAAGUCUUUUCUGCCUGGGAGCUAGUGCAAAAGCUGCUGUCUUCUGUAUCUAUGAUUGCUACGCGACACACAAGAGAAGCAAUCUUAGUAGUAAUCUGUCCAGGCCUUUUCCUGAUUGGCCUCUGUUAACCUCAGUGCGCGUAGAAGGCUUGCUAACCAGCAGACAUCAGUGGACACUUCAGAGUCAGACCCAUAAGCCUGCUUGUCAGAAAAGAAAGGAGGGAGACUGAUGCUGCUCUCAAGAUCUUCCAGAAGUGAACCACCCCAGACUUGAUGCUCCAGCUCAGGCUGGGAUCACAUUCCUGCUCUUUCCACUAAAGCUCAACAUGCAACUGCAGCAGCGGGACUGGCUCCUGUGGAGGGGGCCUAUCUACAGUUCUGCCCCCUGAGACCUGCUGCUUCUGGGACCUGUUCUCCACAGAGGACCGUUCUUCCUUGACUUUGGGGACCUCCUAGAGCUGAUGGUUAUAAUCUCUCCCAAUCUUUCUUGAUUUGUAUCCUGCUGCAAAUGAGAGUCUUAAGGUCUCUUCCUUCUGGGUUCUAUUUAUGUAUUUCUUUGUGUGAAUUAUUGCUCCUAUGUUAGAAGUAAAACUCCCACUUUUUGUCUCCUUUCAAAAAAAAAAAAAAAAA